GCAGCCCAUGUGAGCCCACCCAAUCACCUCUGCGGAAGGAGAAUGGAGAUGGAGCGCUUCUCUUCCUUCACUCUAUAGUUUCAGGCUGUGCCCACCAGAAAAAGGAACAUUUUGGAGGUGGAAUAAAUCUUCUCCAUUUA